GUCAGACUGAAGUCAUGGUGUGUUCUUAACUACAGUGGAAGACUCUGAAGGAUUCCACAAAGCCUGUUGAAGCACUUUCCUCCUGACUUGAGGAGAAGGCGGAAGCACCCUUCUUGCCUAAAAAAAAGGAGACAUAUCCAUAUGUGGACAGAUGAAAGGCAUAGUUAUGGCUUGUAUCACUUGGAAAGCCUUUAUAUAUGACGAGAUAUUAUUGGGACUAUGAGGUAGGAGCCUUGGCUUCUAUCUGAUCCUGACACUAACUGGCAGAUGAAGCUGGUGCCUGAGUUCGAAUGUCACGUGGAGAGCUGCUUGGCCUCCCCACAGAGGGACCUGUCCUCAACGUCUCUGCCUGAAGUCAGCUUUCUGGGAAGGAUCAUGGACCAUUCUUACAAGACAGACUUCUCCAGUUUUGAACCAGAGUCCCUCUUUGCAAUAGUACUGUUACAUCAUGACUUAAACUACCUCUUUCUGCUUAGGCACAUCCAGAGUUUAUAUUUCCAUAGAAUAAUUUUUGAGGCCAAAUUACCUGAAUUCAGAAAACCUCUGAAUAAUGAAAUAGCUAUAAUUUCUAUGCCAGACACUGUGCUGGCUUCUCUGUGUAUCAUCUCAUGUACUCCUCACAACUGUAUGAAGGAGGUACUUCUGUCAUCUGUUUGCUGGAUGACACGAUUGAUUCUCAGAGCCCUUAGGAAAUGGACUUGAUGUCACAUGCUCAUAGUAGGUCUGGCUCUGUCAUCUCUGCUUUUAUCC